rnacentral:rRNA from 1 species
UACGUAGGGGCAAGCGUUGUCCGGAAUCAUUGGGCGUAAGAGCGUGUAGGCGGCCCGAUAAGUCCGACGUGUGAAAGUCCCAGGGCUCAACCCUGGAAUGCCGGUCGGAUACUGCGGGCUCGAAUCCGGAAGAGGUGAGUGGAUCUGGAUGUAGCGGUGAAAUGACGCAGAUAUCAGGAGGAACACCAAUGGCGAAGGCAGCUCACUGGGACGGUAUUGACGCGUGAGACGCGAAAGCGUCGGGAGCAAA